GACUAGAAGGCCUUGGGCGUGUGUGUCCCUA
rnacentral:piRNA from 1 species